rnacentral:lncRNA from 1 species
UUUCCUUUUUGCAUUAGCACACCUAUGUAUAGAGAGAGAUUCAUGUAGGUGAGGUUGGAGAGCUAUGUAUUUUGAGGAUCAAAUGUAUUCAUUUUGGAGAAUGAUGUAAAUGUAAAGAAUGCAACUAUUGUAAUAGUUAGUAAAGUACUCUCUUUAUUUCACUCGUAUAUCUUGUGGAUUACUUGCUCUUCUUGUUGUUGGCACUGUUUGUGCCCUCGUUGAAUGUGUAUGUUUAGAAUUUAAAGUCCUGGGUAAAUUCUUGUACACAUUCCUGUUGUUGAGCCUUGGGCGGACAGGGGAGGUGCUGUCCGUUCGGCGGUCCGUCGCCGCGGCCGAAUCGUGCCAAAUUGGUAGUGGUUUCGGGGCGGGGCGUGACAGCUAGAAUCCUUCCAAUCCAACCCAAAGGAAGAUUCUAAACCAAAAAAUUGAGCCUCAAAAGCCCUAGCUUCAAAAUGCUCAAAAUUAACCCUAAAAUCACAUUCUAGGGUUUCAUCUCAAAGAAACCCUCAAAUCUCGAAAUCUAGAGGAGAGAACAAGUCACUUACCUCUAAGAAGCUUCAAACCAAGCUCAAAGUCCUCAAACUUCAAGGAUCUUCC